rnacentral:rRNA from 1 species
CCUACGGGAGGCAGCAGUGAGGAAUAUUGGUCAAUGGACGAGAGUCUGAACCAGCCAAGUAGCGUGAAGGAUGACUGCCCUAUGGGUUGUAAACUUCUUUUAUAUGGGAAUAAAACGUUCCACGUGUGGGAUUUUGUAUGUACCAUAUGAAUAAGGAUCGGCUAACUCCGUGCCAGCAGCCGCGGUAAUACGGAGGAUCCGAGCGUUAUCCGGAUUUAUUGGGUUUAAAGGGAGCGUAGGUGGAUUGUUAAGUCAGUUGUGAAAGUUUGCGGCUCAACCGUAAAAUUGCAGUUGAAACUGACAGUCUUGAGUACAGUAGAGGUGGGCGGAAUUCGUGGUGUAGCGGUGAAAUGCUUAGAUAUCACGAAGAACUCCGAUUGCGAAGGCAGUUCACUGGACUGCAACUGACACUGAGGCUCGAAAGUGUGGGUAUCAAACAGGAUUAGAUACCCUAGUAGUC